rnacentral:rRNA from 1 species
GACUCUCGGCAACGGAUAUCUCGGCUCAUGCAUCGAUGAAGAACGUAGCAAAAUGCGAUACUUGGUGUGAAUUGCAGAAUCCCGUGAACCAUUGAGUUUUUGAACGCAAGUUGCGCCCGAAGCCAUCCGGUUGAGGGCACGUCUGCCUGGGCGUCACGC